rnacentral:lncRNA from 1 species
CUACUUUUUGGAGCUCUUGGGUUGCUCGCGAGCUACUUCUAGAGCUCCCGGGUUGCUCGCGAGCUCCUUUUAUAGCUCUCGGGUUGUUCUCGUAAGCUCUUUCCUAUAUUUUCGAAGCUUUUGAGUAGAUCUUCUGGACCCUUUACUUAGUCAGACUAUUUUGAGAAGGAUGGGAAGAAAAAAAAAAUUUCAUUGCGAUUUUUUUUUUUUGGCCAUUUUGGCCAAUUUUGGCCUGGAAAAUGAACUGUUUUCCUAUUUUAUGCGAACAUCCAUAAAAAGUUCUGCAGAGUAUUAGGGGGUAGCGGGUAUUCGAAAAAAAUGAAAUUUUUUUUUCUUCCCUAACCAAGGAUUGCACUCUAGUGCUAUCCGUGGGUGCCCUAACUAAGUACUUCACACGUGCAAUUCGUGUGAGACCGACCAAGGAAUGCACUCUAGUGCUAUCCGUGGGAGGCCCGGCCAAGCACUUCACGCGUGCAAUUCGUGUGAUACCGAUGAAGGAAUGCACUCUAGUGCUAUCCGUGGGAAGCCCGACCAAGCACUUCACGCGUGCAAUUCGUGUGACACCCGAUCAAGGAAUGCACUCUAGUGCUAUCCAUGGGUGGCCCGGCCAAGCACAUCACGCGUGCAAUUCGUGUGAUACCGAUCAAGGAAUGCACUCUAGUGCUAUCCGUGGGAGGCCCGACCAAGCACUUCACGCGUGCAAUUCGUGUGACACCCGAUCAAGGAAUGCACUCUAGUGCUAUGGAAUGCACUCUAGUGCUAUGGAAUGCACUCUAGUGCUAUCCGUGGGAGGCCCGACCAAGCACAUCACGCGUGCAAUUCGUGUGAUACCGAUCAAGGAAUGCACUCUAGUGCUAUGGAAUGCACUCUAGUGCUAUGGAAUGCACUCUAGUGCUAUCCGUGGGAGGCCCGACCAAGCACUUCACGCGAGCAAUUCGUGUGAGACCCGAUCAAGGAAUGCACUCUAGUGCUAUCCGUGGGAGGCCCGACCAAGCACUUCACGCUUGCAAUUCGUGUGAGACCGACCAAGGAAUGCACUCUAGAGCGAUCUGUUUGUGCAAUACGUGUGAGUCCCGACCAAGGAAUGCACUCUUGUGCGGUUUGUGGGAGGCCCGACCAAGCAUUUCAUGCGUGCAGUUCGUGUACCGACCAAAGAAUUGCAAUGAGAUGGGGUUUUUUCGGAUUUUGGCCUAUUUUAUGGAUGGGAAAUAAACGGUUUCUCUAUUUUAUGCGAACAUCCAAGAAAAGUUGUGCAGAGUAUUAGGGGGUAGUGGGUAUUCGAGAAAAAUGAAUUUUCGUUUUUUCAUCCCUAACCAAGGAAUGCACUCUAGUGCAAUCGAAGUGUGCCCUAACUAAGCAUUUCAUGCGUGCAAUUCGUGUGAGACCGACAGUGGAUUGCGCUC